rnacentral:rRNA from 1 species
GAUGAACGCUAGCGGAAGGCAUAAUACAUGCAAGUCGAACGGAUGUAGCAAUACAUUAGUGGCGCACGGGUGCGUAACGCGUAUGCAACCUACCUUCAUCAGGGGGAUAACUACUCGAAAGGGUGGCUAACACCGCAUAAUACUACUGAAUGGCAUCAUUUGGUAUUUAAAUCUGAGGAGGAUGAAGAUGGGCAUGCGUCUGAUUAGCUAGUUGGUGUGGUAACGGCGCACCAAGGCGACGAUCAGUAGGGGAACUGAGAGGUUGGUCCCCCACACUGGCACUGAGAUACGGGCCAGACUCCUACGGGAGGCAGCAGUAGGGAAUAUUGGUCAAUGGUGGGAACACUGAACCAGCCAUUCCGCGUGCAGGAAGAAGGGUCUCUGACUUGUAAACUGCUUUAGCAAGGGAAGAAAAAGCUCAUGCGUGAGAAAUUGACGGUACCUUGAGAAUAAGCACCGGCUAACUACGUGCCAGCAGCCGCCGUAAGAC